rnacentral:rRNA from 1 species
GCUUGUCUCAAAGAUUAAGCCAUGCAUGUCUUAGUGUAAAUAACUCUUAUGAAACUGCGAAUGGCUCAUUAAAUCAGUUAUCGUUUAUUUGAUGGUCCCUUACUACAUGGAUAACCGUAGUAAUUCUAGAGCUAAUACGUGCGUAAAUCCCGACUUCUGGAAGGGACGUAUUUAUUAGAUAAAAGGCCGACCGGGCUCUGCCCGACUCGCGGUGAAUCAUGAUAACUUCACGAAUCGCACGGCCUCGUGCCGGCGAUGUUUCAUUCAAAUUUCUGCCCUAUCAACUUUUGAUGGUAGGAUAGAGGCCUACCAUGGUGGUAACGGGUGACGGAGGAUUAGGGUUCGAUUCCGGAGAGGGAGCCUGAGAAACGGCUACCACAUCCAAGGAAGGCAGCAGG